UAGCGGCGAGUGAAGCGGCAAGAGCUCAGAUUUGAAAUCUCACCUAGUGUGCGAGUUGUAAAUUGCAGGUUGGAGUCUCGGGUUAGACGUGUGUGCAAGUCCCUUGGAACAGGGUGCCACUGAGGGUGAGAGCCCCGUAUCGUGCAUGUCGACACCUGUGACGCCCUUCUGACGAGUCGAGUUGUUUGGGAAU
rnacentral:rRNA from 1 species